GAACGAGAAAGUGGAGCAAUCCAUGAGUACAGUGGCGACCGGGUGAGUAACACGUGACCAACCUACCCUCGAGUGGGGAAUAACUCCGGGAAACCGGAGCUAAUACCGCAUAACAUCGCAAGAUCAAAGCCGCAAGGCGCUUGAGGAGGGGGUCGCGGCUGAUUAGCUAGUUGGUAGGGUAAUGGCCUACCAAGGCGAAGAUCGGUAGCCGGCCUGAGAGGGCGCACGGCCACACUGGAACUGAAACACGGUCCAGACUCCUACGGGAGGCAGCAGUGGGGAAUUUUGCGCAAUGGGGGAAACCCUGACGCAGCAACGCCGCGUGGAGGAUGAAGUCCCUUGGGACGUAAACUCCUUUCGACCGGGACGAUACUGACGGUACCGGAAGAAGAAGCACCGGCUAACUCUGUG
rnacentral:rRNA from 1 species